rnacentral:rRNA from 1 species
UGGGGAAUAUUGGACAAUGGGCGCAAGCCUGAUCCAGCCAUGCCGCGUGAGUGAUGAAGGUCUUAGGAUUGUAAAGCUCUUUCACCGGUGAAGAUAAUGACGGUAACCGGAGAAGAAGCCCCGGCAACUUCGUGCCAGCAGCCGCGGUAAUACGAAGGGGGCUAGCGUUGUUCGGAAUUACUGGGCGUAAAGCGCACGUAGGCGGAUAUUUAAGUCAGGGGUGAAAUCCCAGAGCUCAACUCUGGAACUGCCUUUGAUACUGGGUAUCUUGAGUAUGGAAGAGGUGAGUGGAAUUCCGAGUGUAGAGGUGAAAUUCGUAGAUAUUCGGAGGAACACCAGUGGCGAAGGCGGCUCACUGGUCCAUUACUGACGCUGAGGUGCGAAAGCGUGGGGAGCAAACAGAUUAGAUACCCUGGUAGUCCACGCCGUAAACGAUGAAUGUUAGCCGUCGGGCAGUAUACUGUUCGGUGGCGCAGCUAACGCAUUAAACAUUCCGCCUGGGGAGUACGGUCGCAAGAUUAAAACUCAAUG